UACGUAGGAGGCGAGCGUUGUCCGGGAGUUACUGGGCGUAAAGGGUGCGCAGGCGGCGGUUCGCGUGGCGAGAUGAAAUCUCCUGGCUUACCUGGGAGGAUGGUCGCCAGACGGGAUCGCUUGAGGGUCGGAGAGGGGCGUGGAAUUCCGGGUGGAGCGGUGAAAUGCGUAGAGAUCCGGAGGAACACCAACGGCGUAGGCAGGCGCCCUGGACCGACGACCUGA
rnacentral:rRNA from 1 species